UACGUAGGGGGCAAGCGUUGUCCGGAUUCAUUGGGCGUAAAGAGCGUGUAGGCGGCCAGGUAGGUCGGUUGUGAAAACUGGAGGCUCAACCUUCAGAGGUCGACCGAAACCAUCUGGCUAGAGUCCGGGAGAGGAGAGUGGAAUUCCUGGUGUAGCGGUGGAAUGCGCAGAUAUCAGGAGGAACACCAACGGCGAAGGCAGCUCGCUGGGACGGUACUGACACUAAGGCGCGAAAGCGUGGGGAGCGAACAGG
rnacentral:rRNA from 1 species